rnacentral:rRNA from 1 species
GGAAUAUUGUACAAUGGGCGCAAGCCCGAUGCAGCCAUGCCGCGUGUAUGAAUAAGGCCUUCGGGUUGUAAAGUACUUUCAGCGGGGAGGAAGGCAAUACGGGUAAUAACCGUGUUGAUUGACGUUACCUGCAGAAGAAGCACCGGCUAACUCCGUGCCAGCAGCCGCGGUAAUACGGAGGGUGCAAGCGUUAAUCGGAAUUACUGGGCGUAAAGCGCACGCAGGCGGUCUGUCAAGUCGGAUGUGAAAUCCCCGGGGUCAACCUGGGAACUGCAUUCGAAACUGGCAGGCUUGAGUCUUGUAGAGGGGGGUAGAAUUCCAGGUGUAGCGGUGAAAUGCGUAGAGAUCUGGAGGAAUACCGGUGGCGAAGGCGGCCCCCUGGACAAAGACUGACGCUCAGGUGCGAAAGCGUGGGGAGCAAACA